rfam:Nicotiana attenuata strain TT chromosome 1, whole genome shotgun sequence.
GAAGAAACUUAUUGGAUUGAGCCUUGGUAUGGAAACUUACUAAGUGAUCACUUUCAAAUUCAGAGAAACCCUGGAAUUAACAAAAAUGGGCAAUCCUGAGCCAAAUCCUGUUUUCCGAAAACAAACAAAGGUUCAGAAAAAAAGGAUAGGUGCAGAGACUCAAUGGAAGUUAUUCUAACAAAUGGAGUUAAAUGCAUUGGUAGAGGAAUCUUUACAUCAAAACUUCAGAAAGAAAAAAAAAAGCCAAGAGGCCGCUAGAGAAAGGGUUUUGUUUUCGAGUCUGUUUCCAAUUCUUCCGACCUUGAAUCUAGGUUUUCCCUAAUGCCACCUUGCUGCUUUCAAAGCUACACUUGCUUCCUUACUUCAUAAGCUAAUAAGAGAUUCUAUUAUUCUACACUUAUCCAGAUGCUUACGCUGGAUGGAAUGCCCUUAGCAGUUUUGGCUCUUAUAUAUCCGUAGUUGGGAUUUGUCGUUUCUUCGUGG